CGACACCUCCCGCCAUACCUUCCCGCGUGAAGGAAGAACUAUGCCCUAGCUCGUUGUCAAGCCCUAAAAACCAAGCUACAAGGGUGGAAGUUAGGGUAAGGGAAGGAAGGGCAGUCAACAUCCACAUGUUUUGUGCUCGCAGACCAGGUUUAUUGCUCUCCACUAUGAGGGCUCUGGACAACCUUGGGUUAGAUAUUCAGCAGGCUGUCAUCAGUUGUUUCAAUGGGUUUGCACUCGAUGUGUUUCGAGCUGAGCAAUGCAGGGAAGGUCAGGAUGUCUUACCAGAGCAAAUCAAAGCAGUACUUCUUGAUUCAGCUGGCUUUCAUGGAAUGAUGUGACCCGCAGUUUGUAUACAUGCAAAUCAUAUCUACAAACUGAGGCACUAACUUUAGUUCUCU
rnacentral:misc_RNA from 1 species